CCAUCCAUCCAUCCAUCCAUCCAUCCAUCUUCUCAACCACUUAUCCUCAAAAGGGUCACGGGCGUGUUGGAGCCAAUGCCAUGCUGGAGCCUAUUUUCUAUCUUCAAGCAAAAAUGAGAAAACAAGUUACAGUAAUAAUAUACUGUACCUUCAAAAUUCCUCUACUUUAACACAGCAGGUCCACCCAAACUGCUGCAACGGUUGUCCUGAGACACGAAAGUGUCAGCGGCCCAAUGGAGAUGUUGACGGGGACUGACCGUGGGGCAUCAGCAGAAUGGACUCGGGUCUCCUGAAGCUCAAAGGGAGUGCUUGAAUUCACCUUUUGUCCACCCUUAAAGAGACGCUGGGGAGGCAGCGCCAAUCUAGCCCAGCGAUCUCAAAGCGAGGGAGAGCCACACUUGGAUUGAAGAUCAUCUGCCGCACGCUUGGCCACACAAUCUCAACACUAAACAGAGGCCUCGUGUGUGCAGCAUUCCAGAUAAGUAGACAGGUGAUCAGCAUGUGAUCAAAGAGCCGGCAGUACUUCCAAGGAGAUUCUUUCUCUUUAAAAACAACACAACUGAUUGUGCUAAUUGCCGACUGCAAGCUCUCACUAAACAAGAUAAGACCAAAUUUCAACAUCAAAUAUCUUUGAGGGAGUUCAAGCUUUCUGAUU